CUCUGCCUGAACCCAGGUGCAGCUGGCCCCCUCUCUAAAGAAAAGAAAAUAGCAAACCUGCUUGCAGACAGAGGCUCAUCCACACCAGAGGGGCAGUGACCUCCCUUCAUUGCUUAAGUAUAAGGGUGGCAGCAGGACUUAACCUGGUAUGAGGGGAGCAACGCGGUGCCAGGGCCUCAGGGAAGAUGAUCAGGGCCUGCGUAGCUGCAGGGCAGCACUAACUCAUCAUGCAAUGCUUCCUAUGGAACUUGGAUGUGGCCCGCUUCCAGAGCCACUACCAGUGGGAUGCUCACGCUUCUCAUUGUAAGGGUCCCAUGAGAUAAGACCUAUUUGCCAACACUACGUCCCUGCUGCAGAUGACAGUGUCCUUGAUGUUCCUGAGCUGACGGCAGAGGUGUGGAUGCUGGGUGUUUACAGUUUGAAUGGUGGAGCCUGAGAAGAUAGACAAGUAAAGAUAACAUGUAGAAGUGGCUUUUGCCUAUGAUGUGACAGUACGCUAGUACAGUUCACGAAGCAACAUUUCACAGCCUAUUGGAUGGUGCUGUGUCAUUGGAUGAGAUGUUUUUCCAAGCAGCAGCAUGUGGGAAAACUUACUUUGGAUUUUAUUCCACCUAUACUGUGUGUUCAAUAAACAUUUUC
rnacentral:lncRNA from 10 species